CUGGAGGUCAGCCCUGCUCUGUCAGGGGGCAGGCGGGAGGUGGCAGGAAGAAACAGGCUCCGUGGAGGUCCGGGACCUGACUGAGGUCGGGCUUUGCUCCGUCAGCUGUUUCAGCUGCCACCUCAGUGAGGGAUUUAUAAAUAUUUGUUGCUCUUCCCCCGACCCCAGGCACACCAUGUGCUCGCUCCCUGGGAAGCAAGAUUGUUUGGCCAUUUCACAGAGAGGGAGCCUGAGGCCCUGGGGACCGGAGACUCAGUCAUGAGGGAAGGUCUGAGGAGGAGCAGGACUACAGUGAAGACCUCUGGCUUUUUCCAUUCUCCGUAUGAAGCCUCUGAAGGCAAAACCAAGUGAGCCUCCAGUAUCUUCUGCUGACAAAACACAUCAUCAAGCCAGCUGGCACAGGAGAAAUAUCAUCUUCAGAGUCCAGUUCCAGAAUCACCAAGCAGAGCAAAACAAUCACGAAGGUAGUAAAUUUACAACUGGAAUGAAAGUGAACAGCACCGGGUCUCGCCUUGACAUCCUCCCCUCUCCACCCCCGCCGCCCCCAAAAGAGGGGUCGUGCCCAGGCACUGGAUAGACUCCGGUGUGGAUUUCCAGAAUCCCUUUUGGACACAUGUCUGCCUGUUCCUAUUUGACAAAGCUCCGCUUUCCAGAGAUUAAUUGUUGUCAAACGCAACUUAUUUUCUAAUCCUUUCAGGCUCCGCUUAAAACCUUCUGCUUUAUUUUAUUUCUUUUGAUAAAGUCGCUGAGAUUUUUUUUCCUUUUUUUUUUAUAUGGAUUUGCCAAUGAUUGUCCAGUUUGACAAAUUGGAUUCCUAAAGCUGAUUCUUUGAAGAAAAGGAUGCAGUGUGACAAGACAAGAAACAGCUCAUCCUCAAAUCGGGAGGAUAAAUAAAAAAAUAGAAGCAACCCCAUUCUCUGGCUUCCCUGCGACUCAAAGGGUGUCUCAGUUGUCACUGAUAAUCUAAUCUUCCGAUGAUAGGUGAGAAACAGGACAAUGGCGACCUAGCCAGGCUGCGGGUGUGAUAGGCCUCUGAUUAAUAGGACUGUCCAAGAAGGCCCCAGCCCCCGGGAAGAUGAUUAAUGACAUUUGAUGUGAACUCUGACCUCCCCCGGCAAGCACAGAGGGAGAAAAGUCUGCUGCUCAGACAGGAUGUGCGUCCCGCAGAAGGUGAUUGAUUCCUGAAGGCUUUGUGACUCUGAGAGUGCGUGGGGAGCCCCUCGUGGCCCCUUCCUUGGCUCUGACAAACACCCGACCCUGGCAGGGGUCUGCAGACUGGAAGGAAAUUGGUGAGGAAACCACAGCCCUGGAUGAUAACUCUUCUUCGGGGAGGAGCACAUUCAGAGCACGUGCACAUCGGGUUGUCCCAGCUGAGGACUCUCCGAAGGUUCCAGAGGUCUGGGGUCUUCUACAGACAGAGUGCUCGUUCUCCCUCAACCUUGCUGAGGCUCUUGUGGGAGCGGCCCUCCCUGGCCGGUUCCGGGGAGCAACGAACCGAAAGCUCCUUAAAAAGCACCAGGGAGAUUGAGAGAUUGCCAUUCCUUCUUAACUGUUGCUACUUUGCUUUCACAGUUCGGGUUAUGACCUCCACCAUUCCCUCUGGAGGACAGAGAGAAAGGGGCAGAGUCUCCAAAUCAGAGAGAAAGAGGCACAAAUAGAAAAAGACACUUUAAAAAAUGACAGAAACUAGAAGACAGACCCACAUUAUUUCUUUCAGUGAUUCAAAAAAAGUACUCAUGGAGAACCUACUAUGUGCAGGACUGCACACCAACCCUUAAUGGACACAUCACAAGACGGAAGCCCGUCCACACCAGCUCCACAGACCCUCCGCGGGAUUUUGGGCAAGAGAAUAAAGAGCAUGCUAUUCCCUCUCAGGCCAGUAGGUGGCGCCAUGUCAGAGGGAAAGUUAGGGUAGUCGCUGGAUUUGAUAGCCACCUAUGGACAUAAAUUCAAUUUCAUCUAGUUCUCUGAGUGCCAUUAUGUGCAGGGCAACAGGCAGGACACUCGAGGGUACAUAGGAUGAGAAAUGCAGGGAGCCUGGUGGCUCAGUUAAGCGACUGCCUUUAGCUCAUUUUGUGAUUCUGGUCUUCUAGGAUUGAGCCCCAUCUGGCUCCUUGCUCAGCGGGGAGUCUGCUUCUCCCUCUCUCUCUCUGCCUGCUACUCCACCUGCUUGUGUUUCUCCCUCUCUGUCAAAUAAAUAAAUAAAAAUUCUUGAAAAAAAAAAAAAAAGGAUGAGAAAUGUACGCUCGCUGUCAUCAUGGAGUUUAUUGUGCUCUUGGGGACCAGAAGCAUAAGCUCCCAGGUCGCAAAAAAGGUGAAAGGGGCAAGUGCCUCAGGAAUGGUUCAAAGGAAAGUCUGCAUGGAUCUUAGGACCAGAGACUGCAGAGAAGCCAUCUCCUACCUGCUCACAUUGUAUCAGAGGGAUCAGAGAAGGGAGGUAGGUGACUGACCCGUGGUCCCACAGCAAUUUCAGACUCCCAAUCUGCUGACUCCCACAACAGUGCUCUUUUCACCAAACAUUCUGCCUCAGUAACUGGGGCUGCUGCCCCACCUUGAGAUUUAAAAUACUGCCUUAGUUUUGCCAUUACCUCUCAAAAUGCCCCCUUUCUGAUGCCUCCUGCAGGGCACUCCAGCUAGGUCAGUCCUCGUCUCAGGGACGGCUGCUGUCCUCAUUAAACAUCCUGUGGUGCUGGGGUCCCCUUGCACCACUCACGAGAGCUGACUGUGUGCACCUCUACCUGGAGGUGCUCAAAAACGGCCGUGGUGGGAACAGUCACACCAUGGAAAUUGGCAAUAGCUAUAAAUCAGAACCUUCCCCUUGCCCCCCACCUCUGCCCACCACCCAGGGAGCUGCACACUACUGAAUUAGCAUCCCUGCUUUAUAGAGGAGGUGAGGUCGUCUGCCAAAGACACACAGCUUAUAGGUGGUGGAGCUGAGACCCCUCCCGGGCAAUUUGUCCUGGGGUGCUUAGCUUAGGGCAAAACCAGGAGAACCCAGAGCCCUUGGAUGCUUGGAUGCAGAGGUCUAGGCUAAUCCUUGGUUUCUUGUGUGGGUGCUACCCAUGGUCGCAUCAUUAACGUGAUGUUAAUAUUGGAACAAGAAGCAGUUUGGGUAAAAUGGAACUAGUCCAGCUUCGGAUAGACUGGAUUUGAGGCACAGUGUUGGAGAUGCUCACACGUUGAGGCUAGGAGAGAGAAGUUGGUGCAGGACACUGAGACAGGCAGGAUAGAGGUCUGUUCUUGACUCAACUGACAAAAGCUAGCUAGAAACAUUUUCCUUUCUUAGGGUACUCAGGUAAGAAGUGCGAGAUUCACCCUUUGUACGUUUCUCAUCUGUGUUGACACUGAGGCAUGACCCAGCAGGACAGGAGAGGGGCGCUGGGCACUUGCUCCACUUGCUCCCCAGUCAAGGUGCAGAGUGAGCACUCGGUAAUUGCUGAAUAAAUGAGGGAAUAACCUGAUUUCACCCCACACAAAGCCGACUCAGCACUGCUGUGGACCACACAUUAAAACCUAAGUAUAUGCCUCGUAACUUCUAAGAUGAUCUAGAAUGCUAGCAUUGUUAUAAGAGUAUGGAUGUGGGGGGCACCUGGGUGGCUCAGUCGGUUAAGUCGGUUAAGCCAAGACCUUUGGCUCAGGUCACGAUCCCAGGGUCCUGGGAUAGAGUCCUAUGUCAGCCUCCUUGCUUGACGGGGAGUCUGCUUCUCUCUCUGCCUGCCGCUGCCCCUGCUUGUGCU